rnacentral:rRNA from 1 species
UGGGGAAUAUUGGACAAUGGGGGCAACCCUGAUCCAGCCAUGCCGCGUGUGUGAAGAAGGCCUUUUGGUUGUAAAGCACUUUAAGCAGGGAGGAGAGGCUAAUGGUUAAUACCCAUUAGAUUAGACGUUACCUGCAGAAUAAGCACCGGCUAACUCUGUGCCAGCAGCCGCGGUAAUACAGAGGGUGCGAGCGUUAAUCGGAAUUACUGGGCGUAAAGCGAGUGUAGGUGGCUCAUUAAGUCACAUGUGAAAUCCCCGGGCUUAACCUGGGAACUGCAUGUGAUACUGGUGGUGCUAGAAUAUGUGAGAGGGAAGUAGAAUUCCCAGGUGUAGCGGUGAAAUGCGUAGAGAUCUGGAGGAAUACCGAUGGCGAAGGCAGCUUCCUGGCAUAAUAUUGACACUGAGAUUCGAAAGCGUGGGUAGCAAACAGGAUUAGAUACCCUGGUAGUCCACGCCGUAAACGAUGUCUACUAGCCGUUGGGGUCCUUGAGACUUUAGUGGCGCAGUUAACGCGAUAAGUAGACCGCCUGGGGAGUACGGCCGCAAGGUUAAAACUCAAAUGAAUUGACGGGGUC